UACGGGGGGGGCAAGCGUUGUUCGGAAUUACUGGGCGUAAAGGGCUCGUGGGCGGCCAACUAAGUCGGACGUGAAAUCCCCAGGCUCAACCUGGGAACUGCGUCCGAUACUGGAUGGCUUGAAUCCGGGAGAGGGAUGCAGAAUUCCAGGUGUAGCGGUGAAAUGCGUAGAUAUCUGGAGGAAUACCGGUGGCGAAGGCGGCAUCCUGGACCGGCAUUGACGCUGAGGAGCGAAAGCCAGGGGAGCAAACGGG
rnacentral:rRNA from 1 species